rnacentral:rRNA from 1 species
CCAGACUCCUACGGGAGGCAGCAGUGGGGAAUAUUGGGCAAUGGGCGAAAGCCUGACCCAGCAACGCCGCGUGAAGGAAGAAGGCUUUCGGGUUGUAAACUUCUUUUGACAGGGAAGAGCAGAAGACGGUACCUGUCGAAUAAGCCACGGCUAACUACGUGCCAGCAGCCGCGGUAAUACGUAGGUGGCAAGCGUUAUCCGGAUUUACUGGGUGUAAAGGGCGUGUAGGCGGGAAAGCAAGUCAGAUGUGAAAACCGUGGGCUCAACCUGUGGCCUGCAUUUGAAACUGUUUUUCUUGAGUACUGGAGAGGCAGACGGAAUUCCUAGUGUAGCGGUGAAAUGCGUAGAUAUUAGGAGGAACACCAGUGGCGAAGGCGGGCUGCUGGACAGCAACUGACGCUGAGGCGCGAAAGCGUGGGGAGCAAACAGGAUUAGAUACCCCAGUACC